rnacentral:rRNA from 1 species
GACAAUGGGGGCAACCCUGAUCCAGCCAUGCCGCGUGCAGGAAGACUGCCCUAUGGGUUGUAAACUGCUUUUAUAGGGGAAGAACCCCCUCCACGUGUGGAGGGCUGACGGUACCCUACGAAUAAGGAUCGGCUAACUCCGUGCCAGCAGCCGCGGUAAUACGGAGGAUCCAAGCGUUAUCCGGAAUCAUUGGGUUUAAAGGGUCCGUAGGCGGGCAGUUAAGUCAGUGGCGAAAGUCCUCCGCUCAACGGGGGAACUGCCAUUGAUACUGAUUGCCUUGAGUCACUGUGAAGUGGUUGGAAUGAGUAGUGUAGCGGUGAAAUGCAUAGAUAUUACUCAGAACACCUAUUGCGAAGGCAGAUCACUAACAGUGCACUGACGCUGAUGGACGAAAGCGUAGGUAGCGAACAGGAUUAGAUACCCUGGUAGUCUACGCCGUAAACGAUGGUCACUAGCUGUCCGGCACAAUUGAGUGCUGGGUGGUUAAGCGAAAGUGAUAAGUGACCCACCUGGGGAGUACGUUCGCAAGAAUGAAACUCAAAGGAAUUGACGGGGGCCCGCACAAGCGGUGGAGCAUGUGGUUUAAUUCGAUGAUACGCGAGGAACCUUACC